rnacentral:rRNA from 1 species
UACGUAGGGUGCAAGCGUUGUCCGGAAUUAUUGGGCGUAAAGAGCUCGUAGGCGGUCUGUCGCGUCGGCUGUGAAAAACUCGGGGCUCAACUCCGAGCUUGCAGUCGAUACGGGCAGGCUAGAGUUCGGCAGGGGGAGACUGGAAUUCCUGGUGUAGCGGUGAAAAUGCGCAGAUAUCAGGAGGAACACCGGUGGCGAAGGCGGGUCUCUGGGCCGAUACUGACGCUGAGGAGCGAAAGCGUGGGGAGCGAACAGG